GACGAACGCUGGCGGUGUGCUUAACACAUGCAAGUCGAACGGUAAGGCCCUUUCGGGGGUCCACGAGUGGCGAACGGGUGAGUAACACGUGAGUAACCUGCCCUCAUCUCUGGGAUAACAGUCGGAAACGGUUGCUAAUACUGGAUAUGAGCCUGCAAGGCAUCUUGUGGGUUGGAAAGAUUUUUUGGUUGGGGAUGGACUCGCGACCUAUCAGCUUGUUGGUGAGGUAGCGGCUCACCAAGGCUUCGACGGGUAGCCGGCCUGAGAGGGCGACCGGCCACAUUGGGACUGAGAUACGGCCCAAACUCCUACGGGAGGCAGCAGUGGGGAAUAUUGCACAAUGGACGGAAGUCUGAUGCAGCAACGCCGCGUGCGGGAUGACGGCCUUCGGGUUGUAAACCGCUUUCAAUUGUGACGAAGCUUUUUGUGACGGUAGCAGUAGAAGAAGCACCGGCUAACUACGUG
rnacentral:rRNA from 1 species